UACGGAGGGUGCAAACGUUGCUCGGAAUCAUUGGGCGUAAAGCGCACGUAGGCGGCCUGACAAGUCGGGUGUGAAAGCCCUGGGCUCAACCCAGGAAGUGCACUCGAAACUGCCAGGCUUGAAUAUGGAAGAGGGUCGCGGAAUUCCCGGUGUAGAGGUGAAAUUCGUAGAUAUCGGGAGGAACACCAGUGGCGAAGGCGGCAUCCUGGACCGACAUUGACGCUGAGGAGCGAAAGCCAGGGGAGCAAAACGGGG
rnacentral:rRNA from 1 species